rnacentral:lncRNA from 1 species
GCUGCUUGACCCACCUGCCUGCCCUUUAGAUGAACUCAAAAGGAGGAAGCUUAGAAACCUCCUCCCCUUAGAGUCUCUUAGAAACAACAAUCAACUAUUGUUUUACAAAUGUUCUAACAGCAGGACGUUCUGCUUCUGUACUUUUCGCUUGCUUUACUAGUUCUAUCCCAUAGGGGGCCCUAGAAACUGCUGGCCUCAAAGGAGAGACCAGGAUCAGACAUCAGCGGUGUUUGGCCCCUCUGGACACCAGUCUGCGGAAAGAGAGGCCACCCUGACGGUAUUCCAGGGCUCUGGGUAGACCAGUCCCAGUCCGGCCCUAUCGCUGAUCAACCAACCCGCAGGAGUAUAUCGGGAAAGCCUCUAGAGAUCCUCUUCACCACUGAGGAGCGGGACUGCAUUUAUCAACAGCCAGUCAAAGAGGCCCUGGGGCCAAACCCCAGCAUCACUCCCAGAACUCUGGGGUAUUCAGCCAGGGCUGAAACAGUGGUUCUGUCGCAAUGCCCCAAAUGGGAC